GAGAACCAACGGAAAAUGCAUUGGUUUGCUUGGUGGAAAAUGUGCAUUUCGAAGGAGAGAGGAGGGAUGGGUUUCCAUGAUAUACACAAUUUUAAUUUGGCGCUUCUAGCCAAGCAGUGUUGGAGAUUCAUUGAGUACCAUGACUCGCUAUGUGCAAGGGUCCUGCGAGCAAAGUAUUACCCUAGUGGCGAAUUACUCAACUGCAGUUUGAAGAAAGGUUCUUCUUUUGUCUGGCAGAGUAUUUGGGCAGGACCUCAGAGUUUCAAGAAAGGAAGUAUUUGGAGGGUUGGAAAUGGUGUUAAGAUAAAUAUAUGGGAGGAUUGCUGGGUGUCGAACAACUCCUCCAGGAAAAUUAUCACUCCACAUGGAAAUAGAGUGCUAACCCGGGUUAAUGAGCUCAUUGAUCCAGUAUCCGGAGAGCGGGAUGAGAACCUCAUCAGAGAUAAUUUUUGCUCUAUUGAUGCUGACCGUAUAAUGCAAAUUCCAUUGCAUCAUGAUGAUACUGAAGACUAUGUGGCAUCGCACUUGACGAAGACAGGAGUUUUCAGCGUUUGUUCUGCCUAUUAUAAACAAUGGGAAGAUUUGUAUGGAAGUACUGAUCCGAGCCCUCUCUCGAGUGCUUCUGCGCCACAUCUGGUAUGGAAGAAAUUGUGGAGCCUCAAAGUGCCAAACAAAGUGAAAAUCUUCAUUUGGCGGUCUAUACAUAAUGAUAUUCCUUGUUUUGGUGUGCUCGCUGAUCAGCACAUAUCUACUACGGCACAGUGCCCGGUCUGCAAACAGCACGCGGAGGAUGUGGCGCAUGCACUUUUCGGAUAA
rnacentral:rRNA from 1 species